rnacentral:lncRNA from 1 species
AUUCAAUCCCUCAUCUAACAAAUUAAUCAAUUUCUACAGGUCAGCCAAUUUCAUAAAUACAAAUACUCACCACGUCACUUACACAAUUGGGGGAAUGCACUCAUUUCUGAUUAUGCCCACAGUACAUGUGCGCACUUGGGGACUCUUUUUUCUUUUUACAAGGUACUCUCACGUGACUCAAGGGAAGGGACCCUAUUCACAUUUUAUUUGUUUCUCGGGAACCAUUUUGAGGAAGCUCUAGAAUUUCCACUAGUAUAUAAAAAUAGAAGAUUAGGACGAACCCUAAGGACCGAGGAGCUCAACGGCGGCAGCAUAUAAGACCAUAGAUACAAUGUCUAUUUUGGGGUUUUCUCCUUCAUGAGCAUAUACAGUAAAGCCACUACGGAAACACCUUGAAUUGCCACCUAAAUUCCACAGUCUUUCACAUCCCUGCACCAAUGUUUCCUUCCUCCAAAUUCUAGCCAAAAGAAAAUGAUCUCCAUUUGAAUGAAAAGUUAAAAAGCACUCCGAAUUCCACUUCCAAAAGAAGCUGAGAUUUCAUUUUGUUGGUUUAAAAUUCUGAUCAAUUUCCGGGAUGAGAUUUGAGAUUGAGGCGCGGUCAACAGGUGAUCCGUUCGAGAUUUUCGAGUUCUGGGUUCGUUUACGGACUGAUUUUCGGUUCAUGUCCAAUAGUUGUUGCUGUUUGCCACUCUAUCUAUUUCCCGUCGACGGAUUUUUCCUCGCUUGAUCGAGUGUAAAGCUGUUUUGGGGCAAUUAUUGAAAAGCUACUCAAAGGUACACUUCAUUUCUCAUCUCAUAUUUGUCUUAUAUUAUGUUUUGUUUUUGUUUUAUAUUUUAGAGUUACAUUCCUUGGUUCAUUAUUUUGUAUUGAUCUACUUCAUGUUGAUUUACUGUCAUCUCUUGAUUAAAACUAAUGCAUGAAGAUUAAGGGUCUAAAUGCUUCGGGGAAUUUAAGUUAAAAAGAAAUUGAAAGGACUUGGAUAUGUUUGGGUUAAUCAGCAUGGUUAAUUAAGAAAAUUGGACUUUAGAUAUUUUAUUAGUUUUACGAUUAUUCGCUAGGAACAUGUUUUAGGCCGAUCAUACUUGGGUAGGCAAGCCUUAAGAUUUUAUUAGUUUUGACGCGAGAGGUCGUUUCCUUAGCUAAAUUUAUCCAGGGAAUGCCCCGAAGGAUUUGUAUAUAUUUUAUUCCAGGGUAUGCCCCGUAGUAUCUUGUAUUUGGAGGCCGAAAGUAGAACUCGUAGUAUUUUUAUUUUUAUUUUUAUAUUCAUUUUCAUCUAUUUAGGCGGGGAGGACCUCGAGCCUCCUUUGCGUUUAUUUUCUUUUUUCUGUGUUUUCUACCUCAAUUCGAAUAUUUUAAAAGCCGAUUAGAUCAAGUAUGCAACCGUACUAGUUAAGGGACUUGGGGAGUGCCUAACACCUUCCCCCGAGUCAAAUGAACCCCUUACCCGAAUCUCUGGUGCAGACUUAGUUUUGGAGUCCAAAGUGUUUUAAAAGGAAAAAAUUAUUUCUAAAAAAUGGUGACCUGACACACCGAAACCAAUGUUAGGUAGCGACUGAAAAAUCCUUUUGAAUACAAUUUUGUCACUUUUUAAUUAAAAACCCCUUUUGAGCUUACAAAUCCUUUUAUUAUUUUAAUAGGGUUAGUGAAGUUGUAAAAAAGGGGUGUGACAACCGUUACCCUCAUCUUUUCACUACUUCAAGUAUGUCUCUAUGCUCGUUCGAGGACUAAUGAAUGUUUAAGUGUAGGAGGAUAUGACGACCUGGCCGGUCGUCUUAAGAAUUUACGCCCCAAUCCCCCAUUAACUACUUUUCCCAAGUUUAUUUCUGCUAUUUUGAUUUGUCGGGAUGUUCGAUUUUAAGUUUCAGAGAGUUUUGGGACACUUAGUCCCUAAAUAAUAGCUUUAGUUUGGAAAUCUGAUGGUUCCUUUAGCUCCGUUGAAGGAUUUUGGGCUUAGGGGCGUGUUCAGGUUGUAUUUUGGAGGUCCGUAGCUAAUUUAGGCUUGAAAUGCCGAAAGUUGAAUUUUUGAAGUUUCCGGUUCGAUAGUGAAAUUUUGAUUCGAGGGUCGGAAUGGAAUUCCGAAAGUUGAAGUAGCUCCGUAGUGUUUAAUGUGACCUGUGUGCAAAAUUUCGGGUCAUUCGGACGAGGUUUGAUAGACUUUUUGAUCGAAAGCGUAUUUUUAGAGUUUUUGGAAUUCUUAGGCUUAAAUCCGAAGAAACAUAGGUGUUUUGAUGUUGUUUUGAGCAUUCCGAAGGUUAGAACAGGUUUGAAUGAUGUUUUAGGAUUGGUUGGCAGGUUUGGUUGAGGUCCUGGGGUCUCGGGUGUGUUUCAGAUGCUCAACGGGUCAUUUUGGACUUAGAGAAUUGCAGAAAAAUAUUGCAGCAGUCAGUUCUGGUUUCCUUCUUCGCGUUCACGAGUGGGGUCUCGCAUUCGCGAAGAGGAGCUGGGGCUGGUGAGGAAGCUUACGCGUUCCCGAGGCUGUGGUAUUUGUGCCUACGCGUUCGCGAAGGCAGUCUCGCGUUCGCGUAGGAGAAGAGAAAUGAUCAUCGCGUUCGCGGUUAGCCUCGCGUUCGCGAAGAAGGAAAUACCGUGGGCAGGANNNNNNNNNNNNNNNNNNNNNNNNNGGGUAACAAUUCUUAACUCCUUUUUGCUUGUAACCCAUUAAUCCAAACAUGAAUUCAUCAUUUAAUUUCAGAUUGGAGAUGAAAAUUGGAGAAAAGUUGGAAGAAAGUUCUUAGACCUAGAAUUCGACUUUUGAUUGGGCAUUUGACCUUAGAUUUGGAUAAUUUUGGUAUGCAUGAACUCGGGAGAGUGUGAGGAUUCUGAAAAUAUAAAUUUUACCCGAUUCCGAGACGUGGGCCCGAGGGGCAUUUAGGUCAUUUUACCUAAUUUUGCUUAUUAGCUUAGAAUUUCUUUGUAGAAUUAGUUACUUGAAGUAUUAUUUACGUUAGGAAAUUGAAUUGAAUAGAUUUAAGCCAUUUGGAGUCGAGUACUCGUGGCAAGAGCGUGGUUUCAGAUCGACUUUGAGCCAGUUCGAGGUAAGUGAUUUGUCUAACCUUGUGUGGGGUACCUUUCCCUUAGGAUUUGGUAUAUUUGGUAAUUGAAAUGCCUUGUAUGUGAGGUGAAGAGUGCGUACUUGUGCUAAUUGUUGGAAAUCCGGAUUUCAUUAAGUAAUCACUAGUAUAUUUCCUUUCCUAUUUUUAUUACUUGCACUAUUAAGCCUGUUGUUAGCUUAGGAAAGUAUGUCUAAGUGACUUAAUUGUUUUAUUUGCUAAACCUGCCUUACCUGAAUUCUGUGCAGCAUGCUAGGCUAUAAUCAUUUGUUGCCUUAGUAUGAAUUUCUGCCAUUUCUGUAUAUUUUCCUGUUGCUGUUGUAUAUUUAUUUUGGGACUAUAGAUGUGGGAUUUCGGUAGCUCCCCCUUGUCUGUUUAUUUUGGGACUAUGGAUGUAGGAUUCCGGUAGAUCCCCCUGCACAGUUAUAUGGAACUACGGGAAUACACCCGGUAGAUUCACCCAGUACUAGGUAUUUACAUUUGGGAUUACGGAACGAGAUUCCGGUAGAUCUCCGCGCACUAUGAGUUGGACUACGGGACGGGACCCCGGGAGAUCCAUUGGAUAUGUACAUAUGGGACUACAGGACGGUAUCCUGGGAGAUCUCCGAUUGUUAUUAUUGAUGCCGAGUUGUAUUCCUUUCUGUGUUUACCUUGCUUCUGUAUAGUUGUUGUUCUGUACAUCUUGUGUUAUUUUACUGCUGUACUUAUUUAUAAUGUUCUAUUCUAUACUGUUGAUCUUUAUAUUUUAUUUAACCUCAGUAGGGCCCUGACCUUCCUCGUCACUACCUGACGGAGAUUAGGAUUGACGCUUACUGAGUACCGCUGUGGUGCACUUAUGCCCCUUCUGCGCAUGUUUUUCAUGUGCAGAUCCAGGUACUACGACUUGGUCCUAUCACCCUUGAGGCGAGGCGACUGCUCCAGCGACUUUGAGGUAUAUCUGCCGCGUCCGCAGACCGAGGAGUCCCUUUCUAUUCUAGCUUUUAAAUAUUUGCCCUUCUGUAUUUCUUUCCCUUGUUAGAUAUUCUGGAGUUAGACUGUGCAGUGAUCCUUAACUUGUGAUUCAUGGGUUUCCGGGUCUUGGAAGUAUGUAUUGGUUUGAGAGUUAACUAUUGUGUAUGCCGAGCGACACUUUUAAACAUUGUUUUAUCGUUCUUCAUUCUGUUUUAAAUUGUUUUUAUUCCGCACUUGGUUUAUCUUCCGCAAUUUAGGCUUACCUAGUCAUAGAGGACUAGGUGCUGUCAUGAUGGUUCAUGGAGGGCAAACCGGGGUCAUGACACUAGUCAUCCUCACAACCAACUUCUUCAAGUCAUAACUAAUCCACAAAUAUGCCUCAGACUGAAUCUAAUAUAACACAUAAUCAUGCAAGCCGAUCGUCG